GAUGAACGCUAGCGGCAGGCCUAAUACAUGCAAGUCGAACGGUGUCUUCGGACAUAGUGGCGCACGGGUGCGUAACACGUAUGCAACCUACCUUACAUUGGGGGAUAGCCUUUCGAAAGGGAGAUUAAUACCGCAUAAGACAGUAGCUGGGCAUCCAGCAGCUGUUAAAGAUUUAUCGAUGUAAGCUGGGCAUGCGUCCAAUUAGCUAGUUGGUGAGGUAACGGCUCACCAAGGCAAUGAUUGGUAGGGGAACUGAGAGGUCAAUCCCCCACACGGGCACUGAGAUACGGGCCAGACUCCUACGGGAGGCAGCAGUAGGGAAUAUUGGGCAAUGGACGCAAGUCUGACCCAGCCAUGCCGCGUGCAGGAUGAAGGCGUUAUGCGUUGUAAACUGCUUUUAUACAGGAAGGAACGACUCUUGCGAGAGGCAUUGACGGUACUGUAUGAAUAAGCACCGGCUAACUCCGUGCCAGCAGCCGCCGCAGUAA
rnacentral:rRNA from 1 species